GGAUGAGGAUCCUGAGAAUACCAGGUGCAACCUGUACAAAGACAACAAUACACCCGAAUUCCAGUAACAUAAUUUUACUGAUACAUUACAUUUGACUUGUCACAACUGAUUUUACCGAAGCUCGGACGAUUGAACUUCGUACGGAAAUCGAAAAAUCUCCGCAUCAAGUUAUCAUGUACAUAUUAAAACUUAUUCCACACUAACGGAAACUUGUAUGAAAUUUCUUGAAACCAAACCCAUGUAUUUGCAAUGCAGUCGAAUUGAGCAAAAACAGCGAAACACAAUGAUUCGUGGGGAGCGAAACCUCCAUUGAACAUGAGCAUUUAUGGGCGCUUGCAUAUUCAAGCGACUUCUCAAUCAGCGUCGUAUUUGGAUCCUUUCUGGAGACGAAGAUCCAAUAUUCAGAUGACAUAAGAAGCCCUUAUACUUCCAAUGGUCCUACAUAACAAAAUUGAUCAAAAAAGUGUAUUGAGUUUAUGAAAAUAGACAAGAGAACCAGAUAAAAAUAAGCGACAGCUGAUAAAAAUAAAAUCUUGCAAUGGCAGGAUGAUGAACAGAAAAUUGAGGGACAUCUCCCAACGGACCCCUGGUUUAUAAACACUGUAAUAUUAAGUAAAUUUCUCCCACUAAAGGCCACCAUUCACCAGCUAAAACACACUAAUCCUGUCCUGCAUCGUAUACAAGAAUAUGGAGAUUAUUACAGUUAACAUAAGCGUUCACAAUGGCCUCCACGUCAACAGACAGAAGACUAGACUCAAGAGAGGACAAGCAGCAGAGAGAGACGGGACAGAAAUGAGCAUCUAAGAUAAGGACGGACGAGUUCACCUCCACCGCCACAGCUUGAUGACACGGAGGAGGACGCUGACGCCACACGACAGCACGAAUAUCCGGCAAAGGUUCUUGAGCCCUCGUUCUCGUCCCGUCCCCUCCAAGCUUGAGGCGGCCGUCGCGGCGGCGCUUCAUCUCCUCGGUCGCCUCCUGCACCCUCUGCUCCGACUACCUCCGCCCACCCUCUGCCAAGGCAGCGCCCGCGUUGGUGGAGUUUGAAGAGGACUGGUGGUGGGCCGUCUCAGGGCGAAGAAGCAUGGAAGAGACUGUGGAAGAACCCAACAAACAGGAACUCGACCGACAGACCGCCGCCGGCGAUUGAGGCUCCCGUG
rnacentral:lncRNA from 1 species